UACGGAGGGUGCGAGCGUUGUCCGGAAUCACUGGGCGUAAAGGGCGCGUAGGUGGCGGUCCAAGUCAACGGUGAAAGCUCGGGGCUCAACCCCGAGUCGGCCGUCGAUACUGGGUUGCUUGAGCACUGUAGAGGCAGAUGGAAUUCCGGGUGUAGCGGUGGAAUGCGUAGAGAUCCGGAAGAACACCAAUGGCGAAGGCAGCUCUCUGGGACGGUACUGACGCUGAGACGCGAAAGCGUGGGGAGCGAACAGG
rnacentral:rRNA from 1 species